rnacentral:rRNA from 1 species
GGCAACCCUGACGGAGCAACGCCGCGUGGGGGAGGAAUGUCUGUGGAUUGUAAACCUCUUUUCUCUGGGAAGAAGAUCUGACGGUACCUGAGGAAUCAGCAUCGGCUAACUCCGUGCCAGCAGCCGCGGUAAUACGGAGGAUGCAAGCGUUAUCCGGAAUUAUUGGGCGUAAAGCGUCCGUAGGCGGCUAUAUAAGUCAGUUGUUAAAGAUUGCAGCUCAACUGUGGGAGAGCAGCUGAAACUGAGUAACUAGAGUGCGAUAGGGGUAGAGGGAAUUCCCAGUGUAGCGGUGAAAUGCGUAGAUAUUGGGAAGAACACCAGUGGCGAAGGCGCUCUACUGGGUCGCAACUGACGCUGAGGGACGAAAGCUAGGGGAGCG